AAUCAACGCUGGCGGCGUGCCUCAGACAUGCAAGUCGAACGAUUAAAGCUCUCUUCGGAGAGUGUAUAGAGUGGCGCACGGGUGAGUAACACGUAAGUAAUCUACCUUUGAGUGGGGAAUAACAAUCGGAAACGAUUGCUAAUACCGCAUAAUGCAGCGGCAUCGCAAGAUGACAGUUGUUAAAGGAGCAAUCCGCUUAAAGAGGAGCUUGCGGCAGAUUAGCUAGUUGGUAAGGUAAUGGCUUACCAAGGCUACGAUCUGUAACCGGUCUAAGAGGACGGUCGGUCACACUGACACUGAAUAACGGGUCAGACUCCUACGGGAGGCAGCAGUCGGGAAUUUUGGGCAAUGGGCGAAAGCCUGACCCAGCAACGCCGCGUGAAGGAUGAAGUAUUUCGGUAUGUAAACUUCGAAAGAAUA
rnacentral:rRNA from 1 species